rnacentral:rRNA from 1 species
AGAGUUUGAUCCUGGCUCAGAUUGAACGCUGGCGGCAGGCCUAACACAUGCAAGUCGAGCGGUAGAGAGAAGCUUGCUUCUCUUGAGAGCGGCGGACGGGUGAGUAAUGCCUAGGAAUCUGCCUGGUAGUGGGGGAUAACGUUCGGAAACGGACGCUAAUACCGCAUACGUCCUACGGGAGAAAGCAGGGGACCUUCGGGCCUUGCGCUAUCAGAUGAGCCUAGGUCGGAUUAGCUAGUUGGUGAGGUAAUGGCUCACCAAGGCGACGAUCCGUAACUGGUCUGAGAGGAUGAUCAGUCACACUGGAACUGAGACACGGUCCAGACUCCUACGGGAGGCAGCAGUGGGGAAUAUUGGACAAUGGGCGAAAGCCUGAUCCAGCCAUGCCGCGUGUGUGAAGAAGGUCUUCGGAUUGUAAAGCACUUUAAGUUGGGAGGAAGGGUUGUAGAUUAAUACUCUGCAAUUUUGACGUUACCGACAGAAUAAGCACCGGCUAACUCUGUGCCAGCAGCCGCGGUAAUACAGAGGGUGCAAGCGUUAAUCGGAAUUACUGGGCGUAAAGCGCGCGUAGGUGGUUUGUUAAGUUGGAUGUGAAAUCCCCGGGCUCAACCUGGGAACUGCAUUCAAAACUGACUGACUAGAGUAUGGUAGAGGGUGGUGGAAUUUCCUGUGUAGCGGUGAAAUGCGUAGAUAUAGGAAGGAACACCAGUGGCGAAGGCGACCACCUGGACUAAUACUGACACUGAGGUGCGAAAGCGUGGGGAGCAAACAGGAUUAGAUACCCUGGUAGUCCACGCCGUAAACGAUGUCAACUAGCCGUUGGAAGCCUUGAGCUUUUAGUGGCGCAGCUAACGCAUUAAGUUGACCGCCUGGGGAGUACGGCCGCAAGGUUAAAACUCAAAUGAAUUGACGGGGGCCCGCACAAGCGGUGGAGCAUGUGGUUUAAUUCGAAGCAACGCGAAGAACCUUACCAGGCCUUGACAUCCAAUGAACUUUCUAGAGAUAGAUUGGUGCCUUCGGGAACAUUGAGACAGGUGCUGCAUGGCUGUCGUCAGCUCGUGUCGUGAGAUGUUGGGUUAAGUCCCGUAACGAGCGCAACCCUUGUCCUUAGUUACCAGCACGUAAUGGUGGGCACUCUAAGGAGACUGCCGGUGACAAACCGGAGGAAGGUGGGGAUGACGCCAAGUCAUCAUGGCCCUUACGGCCUGGGCUACACACGUGUUACAAUGGUCGGUACAGAGGGUUGCCAAGCCGCGAGGUGGAGCUAAUCCCAUAAAACCGAUCGUAGUCCGGAUCGCAGUCUGCAACUCGACUGCGUGAAGUCGGAAUCGCUAGUAAUCGCGAAUCAGAAUGUCGCGGUGAAUACGUUCCCGGGCCUUGUACACACCGCCCGUCACACCAUGGGAGUGGGUUGCACCAGAAGUAGCUAGUCUAACCUUCGGGAGGACGGUUACCACGGUGUGAUUCAUGACUGGGGUGAAGUCGUAACAAGGUAGCCGU